GAUGAACGCUGGCGGCGUGCUUAACACAUGCAAGUCGAACGGAAAGGCCCAAGCUUGCUUGGGUACUCGAGUGGCGAACGGGUGAGUAACACGUGGGUGAUCUGCCCUGCACUUCGGGAUAAGCCUGGGAAACUGGGUCUAAUACUGGAUAGGACCACUUCUUGGAUGGUGUGGUGGAAAGUUUUUUCGGUGUGGGAUGAGCUCGCGGCCUAUCAGCUUGUUGGUGGGGUAAUGGCCUACCAAGGCGUCGACGGGUAGCCGGCCUGAGAGGGUGUACGGCCAUAUUGGGACUGAGAUACGGCCCAGACUCCUACGGGAGGCAGCAGUGGGGAAUAUUGCACAAUGGGCGCAAGCCUGAUGCAGCGACGCCGCGUGGGGGAUGACGGCCUUCGGGUUGUAAACUCCUUUCGCUAGGGACGAAGCGUUUUUGUGACGGUACCUGGAGAAGAAGCACCGGCUAACUACGUG
rnacentral:rRNA from 1 species